rnacentral:rRNA from 1 species
GACGAACGCUGGCGGCGUGCCUAAUACAUGCAAGUCGAACGCUUCUUUCCUCCCGAGUGCUUGCACUCUAUUGGAAAGAGGAGUGGCGGACGGGUGAGUAACACGUGGGUAACCUACCCAUCAGUGGGGGAGAACACUUGGAAACAGGUGCUAAUAUCGCAUAACAGUUUAUGCCGCAUGGCAUAAGAGUGAAAGGUGCUGUCGGGUGUCGCUGAUGGAUGGAUCCGCGGUGCAUUAGCUAGUUGGUGAGGUCACGGUUCACCAAGGCCACGAUGCAUAGCCGACCUGAGGGCGUGAUCGGCCACACUGGAACUGAGACACGGCCCAGACUCCGACGGGAGGCAGCAGUAGGGAAUCUUCGGCAAUGGACGAAAGUCUGACCGAGCAACGCCGCGUGAGUGAAGAAGGUGUUCGGAUCGUAAAACUCUGUUGUUAGGGAAGAACAAGGACGUUAGUAACUGAACGUCCCCUGACGGUAUCUAACCAGAAAGCCACGGCUAACUACGUG